GUUACUAUAUUUUACUGUAUAGGGAUUCUACUUCUGGUACACUCUAGAUCCAGGAAGUGAACACUGACAGCUUCGGUGGAAAGCAACAAAAACAUUUGCAUUUAAAAAUAUAGUUUGUCAUUAUGUCUGCUAGAAACCCGGGGACGCAACUUGAUCUGGAAUGGGUCUCCAAAGUGAGAGUGAACACACAAGCUGUACUUCGGAGAGCUCAAUCCAUCCAAGGACUGAAGCUCCCCAAGAAACAGUGGCAGGCCGCCUGGCUGCUGAAGGCCGUCACGUGUAUUGACCUGACGACUCUGGCCGGAGACGAUACGCCUUCCAACGUCCACCGACUGUGCAUGAAGGCCACCCAGCCCGUCCAAUAUGAGCUCCUCAAGAAAAUUGACAUGCAUGACAAAGGGGUAACAACCGGUGCAGUGUGCGUGUACCCGUCACGCGUGGCCGAUGCGGUCAAAUCGUUAAAAGCCGCCAACUCCAAUCUUCCGGUUGCGUCGGUGGCGACCGGUUUCCCGGCAGGUCAGACUCCACUGGAGACUCGUAUUAUGGAGGUUCGUAUGGCCGUAGCGGACGGCGCCACUGAGAUUGACAUCGUCAUCAACAGGACUCUAGCUCUCACUGGACAGUGGGAAGCCAUGUAUGAUGAGAUCGUUCAGUUCCGAGAGGCCUGCGGCGACGCUCACAUGAAGACCAUCCUGGCCAUCGGCGAACUAGGCACCUUCACCAACGUCUACAAAGCCAGUUUGGUCGCCAUGAUGGCCGGUUCUGACUUCAUCAAAACAUCCACGGGAAAGGAAUCCGUCAACGCCACUUACCCUGCCGCCAUAGUGAUGGUGAGGGCCAUACGUGAUUACUUCCUGCGUACGGGUCACAAGGUGGGCUUCAAGCCAGCGGGGGGCAUCCGGACAGCCAAGGAGUCUUUGGUGUGGCUUCUGCUGAUCAAAGAGGAGCUAGGCAACGACUGGCUUACUCCUCACCUCUUCCGUUUGGGAGCCAGCAGCCUCUUGGCUGACAUUGAGAGACAGAUUUAUCAUCACGUAACCGGACAAUAUGCUGCCUACCAUGAGCUUCCUAUGGCCUGAAGCUCUGGAGAUGCUCCAAAAGGACCUCAAGUUCACCACACAAGCCUGACAAUCUUGUUUUCUACCAGUCAAGGAUAUCUCAGAUCCACGAAAAAAAAAACAUUGUGUGAGAUGCGGACUCGGCGGCGAUGAUGGAGUGAGCUCGUAUGGCCGGCUUCUUGAUGGAUUAGCCGCACUUACAUAAAGGCAUGUAGAUCAUCUCAAAUCUGAACCAUCGGUCAGCGCGCUGCCACUUGAUAAGAUGGAGGCUGGAUCCUGCUUGAUUGAUUCCCUAGGCCAUCUACUCAGAUCCCUAUCACACACAUGGUUACACACACACACACACACACAAAACAGCCACGCCGUUUCACUUCAUUGGGUUCAAUUUGUUUUGUUGAGUGUGUGUGGAACAACGUUGAAAUAAGAGUGAGGAGCUUCAUUUAUUUGGCUUGUCUAAUUGUAAACAGUGCAGUGCUACCAUCUAGUGGCAGCUAUAGGUAAUUACAAAUAUUUGUCCAAUCCGUCUCUCUGUUGCUAUGUUAUUCUAAUCUGCCUGUUCAGAAUUAGAAGUGCUUGCUGAUAAAGUAUAAAAGCGUCGGAAGGGUUCAGCCAAUCAAAUUGUAGAAUGGGACCACAGCGUUUUGGUUUUGUUUGCAUUGCACCCCCGCCCCGCCCCCAGCAACCACCCACCAAGAGGUCGGUUUGGAUGAACACCCGGCAGGCCAGCGGUGAUCAAGUCCCUCACGCCUGACAAAUAGUCUUGCUCAGAUUGAUUGUUUUCCCCUUGUUUAAUUCAUCAGUGUUUCUUUAGCCCGCAGCGGCGGUGAAAAACGACACUUUCCCAGGCCCCGGCGUCCCACAUGUAGUUUAUGAUGAAGAAAAAAUGGCCGAGCAGCCCACGCCGUCAGUAAUGGCCCCACUAUCCAUUAUGAACGGCACUUUGGAUUUGUCAUGCUGUUUGCGCUGGAUGAGGAAUGAAUGUACAUGUUUUAAAGGGAAAAAAAUAGGUCUGGAUGCCGUCUUGCUAUUGGACGUCACGGCCACCGUGUGUGAAUGAGGUUUGAAGAAUUGGAAAUAAAAGAAAAUACGUUGAGAUUGAUUGAAAAAUACAGGGAUUGUUAUUUAAAAAUACAUUUGCAGUAAUACUAAAUUUAAUACAUAUAUGUAAGAUUAAGCAUGAACGAUGAACUACUCUAUUUUACUUUUCAUACUUCAUGCAGUGUUUUUUUAAAAACUAUUAUUUAAUAAAAAAUAUUUCAGAAAUAAAAAAAUACAAUUAAUUUGAUAGAAAAAAUAAAAGAUGAUUUUAAAUACAAAGAAUAAAAUAAAAAAAUGUGUUCAGUGUUUAGCAUUAUUUUGUUUUUUUUAGCGUUAAGUUUUUAAUGAGCUAUUUGAUUUAUUUUUAUUUUUAACCUUAUAUUGUUUACAUAUGUAGCACAUGAAAUAAAUUUAUUGUAAAUAAGAAAACACAUUGGUAAGAAAAAUGCAACAUUUUAACUUCAACAGUGAAAUUCAUGUUCACUGAUUUUUCCUGUUAUUCAUUAAACAGUAUGACUUUUUGUCAUUGAUUACUAAUUAAAAUCAUCUCAGGACGUAAAACAAGUACUCAACUGUGCAAACACAUUUUCCCAGUUGAAAGUCAUUUGUUGCAUGUUGCUUUGAUCACAAAAAUAAACUCGCCAUGACUUCUA